GUCUGGGGGCAAUGUGGGUCUAGGGGGUUCCAGUGCUGGCGUCUGGAGGGGGGCGGCUUGGGCAUCAAGCUCCGUGGCCACCCCCAGCCUGGGACAGCCGAAUCCCUCCCCCUCCAGCCAGGCGCCCACUCCUCUUCCAUCCCGCUCCGAUCCUCCCCGCUCUCCCCGGACUGUAACCCAUGGACACGCAGGAUGACGUCUUUCAUAUGAAAUGUGGCACCAGCAGGUUGGGAGCGCACAACAACGACAGAAAUUGGUGUGAGGACACUGGAGCCUUAGGACCCUUGCAAAUAAAACCUGUCCUCUGUGUCUAUGCCCUUA